AAGCAGAAUCAUAUAAACAUAUUAGAUUUGACUCUUAAAGUAAAAUUUUCAACAGCAGAAAAAAGGAAAAUAAGAUGGAGGAAAAAUUAUAGUCUUAGUUAUUCAUAUAAGCCUGCAUUCUACCUAAUGUAUAAAGUCUUCGAGCUUUAGUAUUUUUUUUGUCAUAAUCAUCUAAUAUAGAGCUAGAAUUUCUUAUAAAUAUAAAAUUGUGUAUUUUUUUUAUUAUGCAGAUGUCUCUUAAAUAUAUUGUCUCUCCAGAUCAAUGGUUCCCUGCCACUAUUUGUCAAUAUCCAAAUCGGCAAUAUCUCCUGGAUUUUUUUUGAAUUUAUAGAUGCAAAUCAACAGGCUUCUGUUAUGUGCAGCAAUUUCUAUGGAUUUUUUGUGGGAGUUAUGUGUAGGGAAGAGGAUGAACAAUUUAGCAGUAAGUUGAUACAUGAAUUUGUGAUGAGGCUUAUACACUGUGGUAAAAAUAACGAAGUGUGGGUACGCUUAGGUGAUCGUGUUGCCAGAUUUAGUAUUAAU
rnacentral:lncRNA from 1 species